rnacentral:rRNA from 1 species
GAAAAGAAACCAACAGGGAUUGCCCCAGUAACGGCGAGUGAAGCGGCAACAGCUCAAAUUUGAAAUCUGGCCCCCCGGCCCGAGUUGUAAUUUGCAGAGGAUGCUUUUGGUGAGGCACCUACCGAGUCCCCUGGAAUGGGGCGCCAUAGAGGGUGAGAGCCCCGUAUGGUAGGACGCCGAACCUCUGUAAAGCUCCUUCGACGAGUCGAGUAGUUUGGGAAUGCUGCUCUAAAUGGGAGGUAAAUUUCUUCUAAAGCUAAAUACCGGCCAGAGACCGAUAGCGCACAAGUAGAGUGAUCGAAAGAUGAAAAGCACUUUGAAAAGAGGGUUAAAAAGUACGUGAAAUUGUUGAAAGGGAAGCGCUUGUGACCAGACUUGCGCCGGGCGGAUCAUCCAGCGUUCUCGCUGGUGCACUCCGCCCGGUUCAGGCCAGCAUCGGUUUUCGCCGGGGGACAAAGGCUUCGGGAACGUGGCUCCUUUCGGGGAGUGUUAUAGCCCGUUGCGUAAUACCCCGGCGGGGACCGACGACCGCGCUUCGGCAAGGAUGCUGGCGUAAUGGUCAUCAGCGACCCGUCUUGAAACACGGACCGAGGAGUCAAGCAUUAGUGCGAGUGUUUGGGUGUAAAACCCGCACGCGUAAUGAAAGUGAACGUAGGUGAGAGCUUCGGCGCAUCAUCGACCGAUCCUGAUGUUUUCGGAAGGAUUUGAGUAGGAGCAUUAACGCUUGGACCCGAAAGAUGGUGAACUAUACUUGAAUAGGGUGAAGCCAGAGGAAACUCUGGUGGAGGCUCGCAGCGGUUCUGACGUGCAAAUCGAUCGUCAAAUUUGAGUAUAGGGGCGAAAGACUAAUCGAACCAUCUAGUAGCUGGUUUCAGCCGAAGUUUCCCUCAGGAUAGCAGUGUCGUCUUCAGUUUUAUGAGGUAAAGCGAAUGAUUAGGGACUCGGGGGCGAUUUUUAGCCUUCAUCCAUUCUCAAACUUUAAAUAUGUAAGAAGCCCUUGUUACUUAGUUGAACGUGGGCCUUCGAAUGUACCGACACUAGUGGGCCAUUUUUGGUAAGCAGAACUGGCGAUGCGGGAUGAACCGAACGCGGGGUUAAGGUGCCGGAGUGGACGCUCAUCAGACACCACAAAAGGCGUUAGUACAUCUUGACAGCAGGACGGUGGCCAUGGAAGUCGGAAUCCGCUAAGGACUGUGUAACAACUCACCUGCCGAAUGUACUAGCCCUGAAAAUGGAUGGCGCUCAAGCGUCCCACCCAUACCCCGCCCCCAGGGUAGAAACGAUGCCCUGGGGAGUAGGCUGACGCGGGGGUAGCGACGAAGGCUAGGGCGUGAGCCCGGCUAGAGCUGCCCCUGGUGCAGAUCUCGGUGAGAGUAGCAAAUACUUCAAUGAGAACUUGAAGGACCGAAGUGGGGAAAGGUUCCAUGUGAACAGCAGUUGGACGUGGGUUAGCCGAUCCUGAGCCAUAGGGAAGUUCCGUUUCAAAGGGGCGCUAGCGCCCCGUAUGGCGAAAGGGAAGCAGGUUAAUAUUCCUGCGCCUGGAUGUGGGUUUUUCGCGGCAACGCAACUGAACGCGGAGACGGCGGCGGGGGCCCCGGGCAGAGUUCUCUUUUCUUCUUAACGAUCCACCACCCUGGAAACGGUUUGUCCGGAGAUAGGGUUCAGCGGUCGGAAGAGCCCAGCACUUCUGUUGGGUCCGGUGCGCCCUCGACGUCCCUUGAAAAUCCGCGGGAGGGAAUAA